rnacentral:rRNA from 1 species
UACGUAGGUGGCAAGCGUUUGUCCGGAUUUACUGGGCGUAAAGGGAGCGUAGGCGGAUAUUUAAGUCAGAUGUGAAAUACCCGAGCUUAACUUGGGUGCUGCAUUUGAAACUGGAUAUCUGGAGUGCAGGAGAGGAAAGUGGAAUUCCUAGUGUAGCGGUGAAAUGCGUAGAGAUUAGGAAGAACACCAGUGGCGAAGGCGGCUUCCUGGACACCAACUGACGCUGAGACGCGAAAGCGUGGGGAGCAAACAGG